ACAUGUCUACAUCAUAGAAUUAAUGCACCAGAUCCCAUUAUAACUUUGCAGUUAAGCAUGCUCAGGAUAGAGUAGUACUCGGAUGGGUGACCACCCUAGAAUUCCUAGUGUUUUACCUACC
rnacentral:rRNA from 1 species